CAGGGAGACAACAAAAUGUUUAAUAUUAUUAUUUUGUCACCUUAGGUCGAUCGGUAUCUCACGUUUUUAAUUUAUUAAGAAUUUCAUUUCCUAAGUUUUUUCUAGGUCACACCCAUUAUUUUUCCUGGGCCAUUAGCUCAGGUGGUUAGAGCGCACCCCUGAUAAGGGUGAGGUCCCUGGUUCAAGUCCAGGAUGGCCCAUAUCUCUAUGUUGGGGGUAUAGCUCAGUUGGUAGAGCGCCUGCUUUGCAAGCAGGAUGUCAGCGGUUCGAGUCCGCUUACCUCCACUGAUUACCACCUCUGCCAUAAUUUGUAAAAGGAAAUAUUUUGAGUUGUGAUCAAAUUCUGAACGAAUCUAGCUUCCUGAUGAAAUAAUUAAGAUGCUGGACUCAUUGAAUUAUUUCAUUGUUUUCAGAGAACCUUGACAACUGCAUAGAUUAUUUUUAAAGACAAUAAGCAUCUUUUAUGAUGCAGAUUUAUUAUUUGUGCAAAUGCAUUAAUAACAAUUCUAUUAAGCUGAUGCUUCAAUUUUGAAGUUAUU
rnacentral:tRNA from 1 species